UGACUCUGAUGAUUAUUUUUUGUUACCUUUCCUAUUUAGAUCUGCACCAAUCCUUGUCAGAAAAUUGAGAAGUCAUGGCAUAGUCAAAUCUGAACAAGCCGUGUGGAGCUUCGCCAUGAGUCUGCGCAUGAAUUUGGGAAUGGACGGAUGUCACUCCGAAGAAGUCAGAGAAUAUUUUCAAUGCGCAGCAGGACAAGAGAAAAGAAGAGAAGCAAAGAGAGGUGAUAAGGGGUCGAGGUCGUAUGUUCGUCUGGCAUCAAUACACAAAUACCAUGACAUGAGCUUGAAGAUUUCAAAGAUACAGAAGGUUGACAGAAAGAGGAUACACUGAUUUCAGCUGCGGACAUUGAGCUGAGUCUCUCCCUAAUAGAUUUGUUUCCCUACAAUAUGGCAGAUUAAUGUAUAUUCUUCUGAAGUCAUAGUACAUUCAUGGUCUGUAUAUAUGUUUGUAUGCUGCAAACCUGAGUCCGGUUUCAAAGUUUGGCCGCAGCUAGCUUGAUUUGGAGACAUUUCCUGUUAGGAGUUAAACUUUGGUUUGGAGGCAUCGAGCUUUGGCUGUAACUAGCUUUGUUACUUGGUAUACCUCUGUCAGCAUUCAGGAGCCGGGUAGUUGUUGAGCGGGUUGUGGGAGAGGCGGUCGGCGAGCGCGGGCUAGACGGGAAGGUGAUGCUUGCGAUGG